rnacentral:rRNA from 1 species
UACGUAGGGGGCAAGCGUUGUCCGGAAUCAUUGGGCGUAAAGAGCGUGUAGGCGGCCCGGUAAGUCCGCUGUGAAAGUCCAGGGCUCAACCCUGGAAUGCCGGUGGAAACUGUCGGACUAGAGUCCGGAAGAGGCGAGUGGAAUUCCUGGUGUAGCGGUGAAAUGCGCAGAUAUCAGGAGGAACACCAAUGGCGAAGGCAGCUCGCUGGGACGGUACUGACGCUGAGACGCGAAAGCGUGGGUAGCAAACAGG